AGCCUCGCCCUGGGGAAACCGCCUUCGUGAUCAUGGUAUCUCCCCUGCCAGGAGCGAGACUGUGUCUGAAAGAGCCGUUACUGGUGGGCAGUCUGGAGGACAAGAACAACAUUACCUUCCUUCACAAUCAGCCCAGGUGGUGGAGGCUUUAAAGAUCUGACUUACAAGUAACAGGAAGAAGCCCUGCGUCAAGAAUGAAGCAACAGUCCUGGCCGGUGUGACUCAAUGGUUCGGUCCCGUGCACCAAAAGUCUGCAAGUUUGA